rnacentral:rRNA from 1 species
AUUGAACGCUGGCGGCAGGCCUAACACAUGCAAGUCGAGCGGAUGAGGGAAGCUUGCUUCCCGAUUUAGCGGCGGACGGGUGAGUAAUGCCUAGGAAUCUGCCUAUUAGUGGGGGAUAACGUUCCGAAAGGAACGCUAAUACCGCAUACGUCCUACGGGAGAAAGCAGGGGACCUUCGGGCAUUGCGCUAUCAGAUGAGCCUAGGUCGGAUUAGCUUGUUGGUGAGGUAAUGGCUCACCAAGGCGACGAUCCGUAACUGGUCUGAGAGGAUGAUCAGUCACACUGGAACUGAGACACGGUCCAGACUCCUACGGGAGGCAGCAGUGGGGAAUAUUGGACAAUGGGCGAAAGCCUGAUCCAGCCAUGCCGCGUGUGUGAAGAAGGUCUUCGGAUUGUAAAGCACUUUAAGUUGGGAGGAAGGGUUGUAGAUUAAUACUCUGCAAUUUUGACGUUACCGACAGAAUAAGCACCGGCUAACUCUGUGCCAGCCGCCGCCGUAAAAC